GUCCACGCCCUAAACGAUGGAUACUAAGUGUCGGCGGGUUACCGCCGGUGCCGCAGCUAACGCAGUAAGUAUCCCGCCUGGGGAGUACGGCCGCAAGGUUGAAACUCAAAGGAAUUGACGGGGGCCCGCACAAGCGGUGGAGCAUGUGGUUCAAUUCGACGCAACGCGAAGAACCUUACCCAGGCUGGACAAGCAGGUAGUAAAAACCUGAAAGGGCAAUGAGGUAGCAAUACCAUCCUGCUCAGGUGCUGCAUGGCUGUCGU
rnacentral:rRNA from 1 species